CACGGAGGUAGCAAUACUUUAGUGGCGCACGGGUGAGUAACGCCUUAUAACAUGCCUUUUGCUUUGGGAUAGCCUUGGGAAACUGGUAGUAAUACCGAAUAGUAUUCUUGACUGGCAUCAGUUAGGAAUUAAAGUUACGGCGGCAAAAGAUUGAUGUGCGUAAGAUUAGGUAGUUGGCAAGGUAACGGCUUACCAAGCCUACGAUCUUUAGGGGGCGUGAGAGCGUGACCCCCCACACGGGUACUGAGACACGGACCCGACUCCUACGGGAGGCAGCAGUAGGGAAUAUUGGGCAAUGGAGGCAACUCUGACCCAGCCAUGCCGCGUGAACGAUGAAGGCGCUUUGCGUUGUAAAGUUCUUUUGGGUGGGAAGAAAGGCAAAGGUUCUCCUUUGUUUGACGGUACCAUCAGAAUAAGCACCGGCUAACUCCGUGCCAGCAGCCGCGGUAAUACGGAGGGUGCAAGCGUUAUCCGGAUUUACUGGGUUUAAAGGGUGCGUAGGCGGGAUUUUAAGUCAGUGGUGAAAGCUCGUCGCUUAACG
rnacentral:rRNA from 1 species